rnacentral:misc_RNA from 1 species
AAAUAUAAACAAGACUUCGAGAAGAGAAGACGGACAAUUGUUAACGUGAGAGACAAUCUUUAUGCGUAUAAGGAGAUUCCGUUAUCUUAAGGAUAGAAGAUUUAUUUGAUGUUGGAAGAAAGGAUACAAAUUACAAGUAGAGGAAGAUUCACAAGCGAUUGAAAUCAAUUGAGUAGAAGAAAAUUAACAGUACGCUUGGAGAAUUAUUAUUUAUUAUUGAACUUCUUGAUUUGUCGAAGUGAGGAAGAUUAUAACAAAUCUGGACAAUAAUAAACGGGACAACAAAUUCAAAAUUGAGGACCUGGAAGAGAAACAGCCAUUUACUAAGAAACUAUUCAAGAUGGAGUCCAUGGAUUCUCUACUUCCAUGCGACGAGAGCAAGAAAUCCAUCUUUGAAACUGACACCCUGUAUCGCUGCAACUCACUAGACAAAAACACGACUUUCCCGCAUCGACACCACAAUCCUCCCUUUCUCUCGGGGACUUGUCAGCAAACGCAAGGAACUUGAGCCUGGAAAGAUAAAAUGCAAUAUAUACAUGACUUCAUCAUGCAACACCUCUACAUUAUCUUGUAUGUGCAAGAGAAAACGUUCAGAUAACUUGGUAUUAAUUGAACCAGCUACGCAUGUGUUUGAGAGUAAUUGCAUGACGAUGUAACUUUAUUUAUUGGUCAGUUUAAUGAUCACAGAUCGAGUUGUAUGACAGGAUAUUGUUGUGAUUUUAUGCCUGUCAAGGUGUGUGUGCUAUACAAUUCAUUAUGAUUUUUACGGUUUAAUGUGACAAUGACAUGAUGAUGUGUAAUACUUAUAUUAAUAUUUAUGGCCAUUUCAAUGCAAUAAUAAACAUAUAUAAACUU